CCAAACACUGAAGAUUUGAAGGACGAGAAAAUCCAUCAGCUGGAGAAGGAGAAGGCGAUCCUUGAGGAGACAGCAAAAGACCGCCCCAAAAUUCAGGAGGAAGUUCGUCUUGCAAUUGCCACGCUGAUGGAGGGCGAAAAUGCUGGAUUUGUUGUUCCUCGGGCGCGGCUUCCUCCUCAGGCAAACGGCUCCGGCGCGCAGCUUCCUCCUCAGGCAAACGGCUCCGGCGAGAUUCAGGAGGCGAACAAGAAGACUAGCUGAUGGACCGGUUCACUAGUAGUGAAUGUCAGCGUUACUAUUAGAGAUUGAGAUGAGACUAUGGAGGCUAAUAACUGAAGAACUGCCUAAUUCAUGUCAGCAUCAGGGCAGUGUACUCCGUGUGGUAAUCAGACUCUUAACACUCGUCGGUCUGCUUGUAGUACUAAUUAAGUUAUUGUAUCAGACAUUAGUGGUAUGUGUGUGGUAAUUAUCAGUCUCUAAGUUCAUCAACAAAGGGAUAUCCUCAGACAAAACACGGCAAAUUGACAUUCAGACAUUUUUAUAGACAAGUUCAGUUUAUUUC